AUGAACGCUGGCGGCGUGCCUAAUACAUGCAAGUCGAGCGAACGGACGAGAAGCUUGCUUCUCUGAUGUUAGCGGCGGACGGGUGAGUAACACGUGGAUAACCUACCUAUAAGACUGGGAUAACUUCGGGAAACCGGAGCUAAUACCGGAUAAUAUUUUGAACCGCAUGGUUCAAAAGUAAAAGACGGUCUUGCUGUCACUUAUAGAUGGAUCCGCGCUGCAUUAGCUAGUUGGUAAGGUAACGGCUUACCAAGGCAACGAUGCAUAGCCGACAUGAGAGGGUGAUCGGCCACACUGGAACUGAGACACGGUCCAGACUCCUACGGGAGGCAGCAGUAGGGAAUCUUCCGCAAAGGGCGAAAGCCUGACGGAGCAACGCCGCGUGAGUGAUGAAGGUCUUCGGAUCGUAAAACUCUGUUAUUAGGGAAGAACAUAUGUGUAAGUAACUGUGCACAUCUUGACGGUACCUAAUCAGAAAGCCACGGCUAACUACGUG
rnacentral:rRNA from 1 species